AGGGACUUAGGUUACACAGACCAAGAGCCUUCAAAGCUCUAAGCAAAUACAGACUAUUUAGUCCCUG
rnacentral:tRNA from 1 species